rnacentral:rRNA from 1 species
GAGUUUGAUCAUGGCUCAGAUUGAACGCUGGUGGCAGGCUUAACACAUGCAAGUCGAGCGGGCGAGGUUGCUUCGGUAACUGAGCUAGCGGCGGACGGGUGAGUAAUGCUUAGGAAUCUGCCUAUUAGUGGGGGACAACAUUCCGAAAGGAAUGCUAAUACCGCAUACGCCCUACGGGGGAAAGCAGGGGAUCUUCGGACCUUGCGCUAAUAGAUGAGCCUAAGUCAGAUUAGCUAGUUGGUGGGGUAAAGGCCUACCAAGGCGACGAUCUGUAGCGGGUCUGAGAGGAUGAUCCGCCACACUGGGACUGAGACACGGCCCAGACUCCUACGGGAGGCAGCAGUGGGGAAUAUUGGACAAUGGGCGCAAGCCUGAUCCAGCCAUGCCGCGUGUGUGAAGAAGGCCUUUUGGUUGUAAAGCACUUUAAGCGAGGAGGAGGCUACUUGGAUUAAUACUCUAGGAUAGUGGACGUUACUCGCAGAAUAAGCACCGGCUAACUCUGUGCCAGCAGCCGCGGUAAUACAAGGG